rnacentral:rRNA from 1 species
UGAUUAUAAAUUAAUAUAUAAUUUACCAGAGUACUAUGAACACACAGUUUAAAACUCAAAGGGCUUGGCGGUGCUUUAGACUAUUCAGGGGAACCUGUCUCGUAAUCGAUAGUCCACGAUACACCUAACCUUUUUUAGUUAUCAGUAUGUAUACCGUCGUCGUCAGGUAACUUUUAAAAAUAAAGAAGUUAGCGACAAAAAUUAUGAUAAUUUUGUACGUCAGAUCAAGGUGCAGCUUAUAAAAAGGUGAGGAUGGGUUACAAUUAAAAUUUAUCAUAACGGAAAAAAGCUUGAUAUACCUUUUAAUG